UGAUCUAUCCAUGGCCAGGGUGAAGCGAAGGUAAGACUUCGUGGAGGCCCGAACCCACUUCAGUUGAAAAUGGAGGGGAUGAGCUGUGGAUAGGGGUGAAAGGCCAAUCAAACUCCGUGAUAGCUGGUUCUCCCCGAAAUGCAUUUAGGUGCAGCGUUGCGUGUUUCUUGCCGGAGGUAGAGCACUGGAUGGUCUAGGGGGCCUACAAGCUUACCGAAAUCAGCCAAACUCCGAAUGCCGGUAAGUGAGAGCGUGGCAGUGAGACUGUGGGGGAUAAGCUUCAUAGUCGAGAGGGAAACAGCCCAGAUCAUCAGCUAAGGCCCCUAAGUGGUGACUAAGUGGAAAAGGAUGUGGAGUUGCGUUGACAACCAGGAGGUUGGCUUGGAAGCAGCCAUCCUUGAAAGAGUGCGUAAUAGCUCACUGGUCAAGUGAUUCUGCGCCGAUAAUGUAGCGGGGCUCAAGUACACCGCCGAAGUUGUGGCAAUCAGUCUUUGUGGCUGGUUGGGUAGGGGAGCGUCCUGCACGAGGUGAAGCUGCCACGGGAGUGUGUGGUGGAUUGUGUGGGAGUGAGAAUGCAGGCAUGAGUAGCGAAUCACGGGUGAGAAACCCGUGCGCCGGAUGAUCAAGGGUUCCAGGGUCAAGUUAAUCUGCCCUGGGUUAGUCGGGGCCUAAGGCGAGGCCGACAGGCGUAGUCGAUGGAUAACGGGUUGAUAUUCCCGUACCAGUGAAGAACCGUCCAUACUGAUAUUGUGAUGCUAACCAUGCCGAACACGGUGUCAUGAAGUUUUCUUUGUGGUGUUGUGGGGUGUGUGGGACCCAGGCUUUGGAGGUAAGCGUGUUAACAGGUGUGACGCAGGAAGGUAGCCAAGCCACGCGGUGGUUGUCGUGGUCUAAGCGUGUAGGAUGACUGGUUGUUAAAUGCGCCGGUUGUGUGUCUGAGACGUGAUGGGACCCCUUGUUUGUGGGGGAUUUGGUGAUCCUAUGCUGCCGAGAAAAGCAUCGGCGUGAGGUUUUAGCUGCCCGUACCCGAAACCGACACAGGUGAUCAGGUAGAGAAUACUAAGGCGAUCGAGAGAAUCAUGGUUAAGGAACUCGGCAAAAUGCCCCCGUAACUUCGGGAGAAGGGGGGCCCGAACCCUGAAGCCCCUUUUGCGGGCUAGGGGGGAGGGUCGCAGAGGCCAGGGGGAAGCGACUGUUUACUAAAAACACAGGUCCGUGCGAAGCCGUAAGGCGAUGUAUACGGACUGACGCCUGCCCGGUGCUGGAAGGUUAAGAGGAACCAUCAACCCCCUUGUGGGGUGAAGUGGUGAAUUUAAGCCCCAGUAAACGGCGGUGGUAACUAUAACCAUCCUAAGGUAGCGAAAUUCCUUGUCGGGUAAGUUCCGACCUGCACGAAUGGAGUAACGAUUUGGGCGCUGUCUCCACCACGAACUCGGUGAAAUUGCAUUACGAGUAAAGAUGCUCGUUACGCGCAGCAGGACGGAAAGACCCCGGGACCUUUACUAUAGUUUGGUAUUGGUGAUCGGUGUGACUUGUGUAGGAUAGGUGGGAGACUGUGAAGCUGGGACGCUAGUUCUGGUGGAGUCGUCGUUGAAAUACCACUCUGGUUACUCUGGUUAUCUAACCUAGGGCCAUGAUCUGGUUCAGGGACAGUGCCUGAUGGGUAGUUUGACUGGGGCGGUCGCCUCCUAAAAGGUAACGGAGGCGCCCAAAGGUUCCCUCAGCCUGGUUGGCAAUCAGGUGUUGAGUGUAAGUGCACAAGGGAGCUUGACUGUGAGACUGACGGGUCGAGCAGGUACGAAAGUAGGAACUAGUGAUCCGGCGAUCCCGUGUGGGUGGGUCGUCGCUCAACGGAUAAAAGGUACCCCGGGGAUAACAGGCUGAUCCUGCCCAAGAGUCCAUAUCGACGGCAUGGUUUGGCACCUCGAUGUCGGCUCGUCGCAUCCUGGGGCUGGAGUCGGUCCCAAGGGUUGGGCUGUUCGCCCAUUAAAGCGGCACGCGAGCUGGGUUUAGAACGUCGUGAGACAGUUCGGUCCCUAUCCGCUGCGCGCGUAGGAGUCUUGAGAAGGGCUGUCUCUAGUACGAGAGGACCGGGACGGACUAACCUCUGGUGUGCCAGUUGUUCCACCAGGAGCACUGCUGGUUAGCUACGUUGGGAAGUGAUAACCGCUGAAAGCAUCUAAGCGGGAAGCACGCUUCAAGAUGA
rnacentral:rRNA from 1 species